UUUGAAUCUGUGAGCAGAAGAU
rnacentral:miRNA from 1 species